rnacentral:rRNA from 1 species
UUUUCCUACGGGACGCAGCAGUGAGGAAUAUUGGUCAAUGGGCGCAAGCCUGAACCAGCCAAGUCGCGUGAGGGAUGACGGUCCUAUGGAUUGUAAACCUCUUUUGUCGGGGAGCAAGGCCCGCCACGUGUGGCGGGAAGGAGAGUACCCCAAGAAAAAGCAUCGGCUAACUCCGUGCCAGCAGCCGCGGGAAUACGGAGGAUGCGAGCGUUAUCCGGAUUUAUUGGGUUUUAAGGGUGCGUAGGCGGCAGGGUAAGUCAGCGGUCAAAUGUUGG